GAAGAUUUAGUUUAUGUUAAAACCUUAAUUUGUCAAAUUAAUAAUAUAUGAAAUAUAUAAUCUUUA
rnacentral:tRNA from 1 species